AGUGAACGCUGGCGGUAGGCCUAACACAUGCAAGUCGAACGGCAGCACAGUAAGAGCUUGCUCUUACGGGUGGCGAGUGGCGGACGGGUGAGGAAUACAUCGGAAUCUACUUUUUCGUGGGGGAUAACGUAGGGAAACUUACGCUAAUACCGCAUACGACCUACGGGUGAAAGCAGGGGAUCUUCGGACCUUGCGCGAUUGAAUGAGCCGAUGUCGGAUUAGCUAGUUGGCGGGGUAAAGGCCCACCAAGGCGACGAUCCGUAGCUGGUCUGAGAGGAUGAUCAGCCACACUGGAACUGAGACACGGUCCAGACUCCUACGGGAGGCAGCAGUGGGGAAUAUUGGACAAUGGGCGAAAGCCUGAUCCAGCAAUACCGCGUGGGUGAAGAAGGCCUUCGGGUUGUAAAGCUCUUUUGUUGGGAAAGAAAAGCAGCAGGUUAAUACCACGCUGUUCUGACGGUACCCAAAGAAUAAGCACCGGCUAACUUCGUG
rnacentral:rRNA from 1 species